AUUUGACAUAUUUUGGAUGUGAAAAAUGUGUUAAUGGUUUUAGGAUGCAUGUAUGGAUAAUAGGAGAAUGUAGAGGAAAAGAAACUGGUUAACAAAUUAAUGUUGAUUCCUCAUGUAAAGUAGUCCAUUUUGUUCUUGGAGUAUGAACUCCUUUGCUCAUGGUCUUUUAGGUUAGUACCAUAAUGUCUAGGCCUAGGAUGGCUCUGACCAGUUUUAUUUUGUGUCCGAGGCAAUUCCCUGCUUGUAAAGUUGUGGAUUACUAUCAGGAAGUAUACGUGAUUGAUUAUUUAGAAUUUGGUUCUAGUUUUUAUAAGUGUCAUGCCAACUACAAAGUUUGACGAAGGAUGGUCAUGUGAAGGUAGUCAAGCUAUCAAUUAUUUAUCUGUAGCAUCUUAUUUGCUGAGGACAUCAAAGUUAUGAAAAAAGUAGAUUUACACAGCCUGUGCAAAAUCAUUUGUAGGGAUGCAAUUUCACAUUUUAACUUUGGGUAUAUAUCCUCCCAAAAUUUUUAAAUCACAGAUAAGUUGAAGUUGUGUUUGACUAUAGCUUGGUGACUACAUCAGCUGCAUCUCUUUUUUAGCACAUUAGCAGUUGAAA
rnacentral:misc_RNA from 1 species